UGCAAAUUUAAUUAGAGUCCAAAUGUCUAUCUACAAAAUAGCUUGGACCCUAAUUAUUUAAAAGUCUAACAAAACAAUAAUAUUCCAACUUGGGCUUGCAAUAACUUGAGCCCAACAACAUGCAAUUAAAUUAAUUCAAUUGGAGUCCAAUACAAUUCCAAGUAAAUGGGAACAAGCCCAAAGUUUAUUCUUCUCCUUAUCCAAGUAGGCGACGGCUUUCCCUACAAAAAAAACUCUCCACCUUUCACCUUCUCCAACUUCUUCACCUUCUAUCUACCACCAUCAAUGCUUACAAACCAAGAGCCAUCCACCACUUCUCUUUUAAUCUCUAAACUCCUCACAUUACACAUCACAACAAAAGAAAAAAAAAGAGGAGGGCCGAGAGAGAGAAGCCGAGAGGAGAAGGGAUUGCUUCCCCAUUGAUUCAACCAUUUUUGGAGGUGGUUCGCACGGCCGCUAAAGUCGGAAUGAGAAGCUAUUAAGGGAAUUUUAAGCGAACGAGGUUGAGCGUUGACGAGGACGGAGGAUGUUGAG